AUGCUCACUUGCUGUUUUCUUACUCUUAGUUACCUGAUGUUUAAGAUUCAUCCACAUAACACUGAUACACUUCUGCUGUCACUUACUGUGUCUGCCUUGUGUGGGGCUUGGGUGUGGGCUCCCAGCUGGAGCUGUCUGAGGUGUCGUUGCCUUUCAGCUGUUUGCUAUGAGUGCUUGAUAUGGGAGAGGGAUAGCUCAGGCUGGGUUUUUGCCUGUGGCUGCUGCUGUAGGCUAGACUGCAAGACAGGAGCUGUGGGGAGCGUAGGGGUUUUUGUCAGCUUUGCACAGACCCCUUUCUGCAGGAACUGGAGGCUGUGUGAUUGGAGAGCGAUGCCACUAAUGGGAGCCUACUUGUACUUUGUCCAAAGGAAAGAGAUUGACUGUUUCACUAAACAAGAAGUGCUCACAUCAGAGGUCUGCAGUUCAGCUCCUUUGCAGAGAGGAUAUUAA
rnacentral:lncRNA from 1 species